rnacentral:rRNA from 1 species
UACGUAGGGUGCGAGCGUUGUCCGGAAUUAUUGGGCGUAAAGAGCUUGUAGGCGGUUUGUCGCGUCUGCCGUGAAAGCCCAGGGCUUAACCCUGGGUCUGCGGUGGGUACGGGCAGACUAGAGUGUGGUAGGGGAGACUGGAAUUCCUGGUGUAGCGGUGAAAUGCGCAGAUAUCAGGAGGAACACCGGUGGCGAAGGCGGGACUCUGGGCCGAUACUGACGCUGAGGAGCGAAAGCGUGGGGAGCAAACAGG